UACGGAGGUUGCGAGCGUUAUCCGGAUUUAUUGGGUUUAAAGGGUGCGUAGGCGGUUUGAUAAGUCAGUGGUGAAAGUUUGCAGCUUAACUGUAAAAUUGCAUUGAUACUGUCAGACUUGAGUACAGAUGAGGUAGGCGGAAUGUGUGGUGUAGCGGUGAAAUGCUUAGAUAUCACACAGAACACCGAUUGCGAAGGCAGCUUACUAAACUGACACUGACGCUGAGGCACGAAAGUGUGGGGAUCAAACAGGAUUA
rnacentral:rRNA from 1 species